UCGUCUUGGAAAUUUAUCAAAGUAAAAUGUUUAGAUGUUCGCGAUUUACCGUUGAGAUGUCCCCUGGCGUUGUCAUCCAGGCAUAAAACAUGUAACCAGGUGUCCAUUGUACCAGAUUGAAAAUGAAGACGCCCUGUUACCGAAGGUCACAAUCAAGUUAAUGACAUUAACGUGAAAGUAAUAAACCCUUCCAUGGUGCAAAACUGAGAAUCUAGACCUAUAAGAAGAAGCAUGAAGAAAAACAGGCAAGACCAGAGAGGCGCUCCAGGAAGUUGAAGAACGGCCGAUGGAUAAGCCAAGAAAG